GGAAUGGCUCUUUUAAGAGCCAUCGUAGAAUUUAUAUUUUAAGAAUU
rfam:Aedes aegypti strain Liverpool supercont1.297 genomic scaffold, whole genome shotgun sequence.